AUGUUGCAAGAACUUUCGUUGCACAACCCAAACGAUGAAGGCUAUACUUUGGCUCGAGGAGUGAUCCACCAUCAGAUAAAAAUAUGGUUGGGCGGUCACCGGGAAGCACAUGAUGCAGUCUUGCAUGCACUACAUAACAGUGCAAUUGGAGGUCAUUUCGGGGUGGAAGACACAUUCCAAAGAGUGUGUAGCUUUCUUUCGUGGUCUCGGAUGCGCCAAGAUGUGCACCGCUUUGUACAGACCUGCCAAAUCUUGCAACAGGAAAAAGAUGAGCAUGUGAAGUCGUCGGGUUUGCUCCAACAUUUGUCGUAUGGCCUAAAGCCUGGCACACCAUUACCAUGGACUUCAUCGAGAAAUUACCACUGUCUCAAGAGUUCUAGACAAUUUUAG
rnacentral:rRNA from 1 species